GAUGCGAUUGUUACGCGAUACUACACUCAUAAGAGUUUCUCUUGAGAAUAUUUUUGGAACACGAGUAUUCGUUCCUCCGAUAAUAUCUGAAAGAUGGGACGAUGAUUAUGGGAACCUCUGGUAGAACAUGUCUGGCAGGUAUAAACCCUAGUACAUUCCCUUUGGGUGGUUCUUAACCAAGACUCCAUGCUCGUGACUCUCAGCAAACCCGUGAUUCAUGGUUGAGUCGUUCAGACAACCUUAAUAUCAAUGGAACUUGGG
rnacentral:lncRNA from 1 species